UAAAUAUACACCUCGCUAGCCAUUUGCGU
rnacentral:piRNA from 1 species